AUACGUAGGGGGCGAGCGUUGUCCGGAAUGAUUGGGCGUAAAGGGCGCGUAGGCGGCGCGGUAAGUCUGGAGUGAAAGUCCUGCUUUCAAGGGGGGAAUUGCUUUGGAUACUGCCGCGCUUGAGUGCAGGAGAGGUUAUCGGAAUUCCCGGUGUAGCGGUGAAAUGCGUAGAGAUCGGGAGGAACACCAGUGGCGAAGGCGGGUAACUGGACUGCAACUGACGCUGAGGCGCGAAAGUGUGGGGAGCAAACAGGAUUAGACACCCUGGUAGUCCACACUGUAAACGAUGAAUGCUAGGUGUAAGAGGUAUCGACCCCUUUAGUGCCGGAGUCAACACAAUAAGCAUUCCGCCUGGGAAGUACGGCCGCAAGGUUGAAACUCAAAGGAAUUGACGGGG
rnacentral:rRNA from 1 species